AUCGGUUAACCUAUGACAACCGUCCUUCAGACCGUUGUCCUCUGGUUAACCUAUCGUGUGUACGAGGCUUUAGUCUUACAGAUUAAAUAAUGUAGGGAGUCAUUCAGCCUGGAAGUCUAAGGACAUCUAGUGGUGAAAUGGAAUCACUGUGGGGGACAGCACAAGAGAGGAGGUAAGUAUUGAAGACAAAGCUCCUUAUUUAUUUCACACACUAGCUGCAGCAACUAAAAAAAAAUAAAAACCUUUUGCUUGGAGUUGCUUUAACAAGCUUCUACAUUAGGAAAGUGAACCAAUAUGCCUCUGUGGAGUUGAUUUUUGAAAAAAGUAGGACAUGUUCGCUUAGUUUACCUAUUAGGGUGAUGCUAUGUUUACUUUAAUCACUUAAACAUGUUCAAGGCAAAAUAUUGUUGUGUUUUUUCUUAUAAUUCCCUUGCCCAUGAUUGGGUAUUCAAACUGAACAUGGCAUUGCUUUAAUCACUAAACUAACCUCUAUCAUAUCCCAAUGUAAACAUACCGCUGUUAUAUAACAUUUUUUUUUUACUUGUAAUUAACGUUGAUAGUGAGAAACACUGCUUUGUACAUUCAUUUUUAAUCACUGUGGGAACAAUAAUUGCAACUAAUGUAUCAUUGUUUUCUCUGUAUAUUGGAAUUAUACCACUAACGAUUUCACAAGAAAUAUGUAUCACUGCGUUUUAAUGUCAAGUUGUAUUUCUGACUCACAUAAAAACUUUUAUGCAGCUAUCAUAAAAUAUAACUUUGUGUCCUACAAUAGUUGACAUAGCUGCUAAUAUCACACUUUUUUGGUAUAUAGUAUGUGUGAAACUUCAAGGUGUUUGCAAUAAGUAUGCAUACAAAAUACAAUGUUUUGCACAAAUUAGUCAGAAUUCUGAAAUUUUAGCUAUGAACAAAAUGAUUUAAACUUUUCAAUCGUAUUCACCAUUUCUCUUUACUGUACCAGAAUAGACUCCCUAAAGCUUAAUGUGAACUAAUGUUAUAUAUAGGAGUAGGCCACUUAUGUCUCUCCAGAUGGUUUUGAGCUGUAUUUGCCAGCAAGCAUUUCCGGCUAGCUGCAGUUCAGAACAGCAGGACAGCUACAGGGAGACAGAGAUGUGAAGAAAAUAGACCUUUUUACCUCAGUGCUGGCAUUUUUUGAAUCUGUUUUGUUUUCAAUGUUGCAUGUUACCUCAGCGUUUGUCUACUGCCGAGGACAACCUAUUGUUGUAAUAUCUAAAUUUUGCCAAGGAAAUUACAGUGUUUCUAGUGGCAUUAAUUGUUGAUGAACCUUUUAUUGUAUUACUGUGGUCCAUUUUUAUUGUUGCUAAGCCACAAGUGAUGUAUGAGCAAGCGAAUGAAUGAAGCUAAAACUUAUAUUGCAUAUACAAUAUUGCAGCCGUUUACCACAUCAAUGCUGCCAUUUAUCAUGUCUAUGAAUGUAAAAUAUUUGCAUCAAUAACAGAAUAAAAAUUGGAAAUGUUUUUUUA